UACGUAGGGGGCAAGCGUUGUCCGGAAUCAUUGGGCGUAAAGAGCGCGUAGGCGGCCCGGUAAGUCCGCUGUAAAAGUCCAGGGCUCAACCCUGGAAAGCCGGUGGAUACUGUCGGGCUAGAAUCCGGAAGAGGCGAGUGGAAUUCCUGGUGUAGCGGUGGAAUGCGCAGAUAUCAGGAGGAACACCGAUGGCGAAGGCAGCUCGCUGGGACGGUACUGACGCUGAGGCGCGAAAGCGUGGGGAGCGAACAGG
rnacentral:rRNA from 1 species